GACGAACGCUGGCGGCGUGCUUAAUACAUGCAAGUCGAACGGAAAGGCCCUGCUCUUGCGGCUUGCUCGAGUGGCGAACGCGUGUGUAACACGUGAGUAUCCUGUCCUUGACUGUGGGAUAACUUUAGGAAACUGGGGCUAUUACCGGAUAGGAGCUCCUGCUCCAUGGGGGGGGUUGGAAAGUUACGGCGGUUGGGGAUGGGCUCGCGGGUUAUCAGCUUAUUGGGGGAGUAGUGGGUUACCGAGGCUUCGACGGGUAGGCGGCCUCUGAGGGUGACCGGCGGCCCUGGGACUGACGUGCGGCCCCGGCACCUACGGGAGGCAGAAGGGCGGAAGCUUGACCGAUCGGCGGCAGCCUGGUGCAGCAACGCUGCGUGCGGGAUGACGGCCUUAGGGUUGAAAACCGCUUUCGCAUGUGACGAAGCGCGAGUGACCGUUAUCGGUAAAGAAGCCCCCGCCUACUUCCUUC
rnacentral:rRNA from 1 species